ACCAAUAUUUAAAGGAGCUUGUCAUCAAGGUGUGUCCCUGUAGCAGAAGAGUAAAGAAUCAUGAAGACACAAAGAAGAGUCUUGCUGAGUCUCCUAUGGAUACAGAUUUGCUGGCUCAGAGUGCAGAUGAAGGUGGAGCAGAGUCCUGGGGUUCUGACCCUCCAGGAGGGCAGAAAUUCUUCUCUGAUAUGCAAUUAUUCUAUCUCCAUAAGAAACGUGCAGUGGUUACAGCAAAAUCCUGAUGGACGCCUCAUCUCCUUGUUUUACAUAGCUUCAGGAAUGCAGCAGAAAGGAAGGCUGAAAUCCACCAUCAAUAACACGGAGCGUCACAGUCAACUCUACAUCAGAGACUCCCAGCCUGAGGACUCAGCCACUUACUUCUGUGCUGUGGAUGCACAGUGCUCUGCAGACACCUGCAGCCUGUACACAAAACCAGAGUUGAGGACUUAA